GCAAUGCAAUUGACAUUCAAUUUCGAUAAUACUUGGUCUGAAAAUGCGGAAGCUAAUAUGAGAGCUUUUAACAGAAUAAUAUGGCAUAGGUAGGUACCUAUGCCAUAUUAUUCUGUUCAGACUAGGUAGUCUGUGCGGAAUGAGAAGAGUCGUGGAAUGUAUGGGGCCAUAUUCCACAAUCUUCUCUUUCCGAACAGACUAUAUGGCUGUUAGCCGUUGUUCGAAGUACCUACCUAAACAAAUUAAAAAAUAUUACUUUCCACCCUAGGGUGGAAAAUGUAAUUUUCCACCCGGCUAAUACCUAUCAGCCUAAGAAAGGUGAACAUUCCGCAGGGCCGUCUUAAACUAAGAAACAAAUCAAAGUUAAUGCCACCACCCUCCCGAUUAAAACUCCAUUCGUCUGGCCCUCUAUCAAUGUCCAUAAAGAUAUAUAAUAAAUUACCACAAAAUAUAAAGGAAGAAAAGAAAGAACAUUUAUUUGUAAGAAAAUUAAAAGAAACCCUUAUAAACAAAAGCUACUACACUGUCGACGAAUAUUUAAAUGAUAAGUUUUAAGAUGUACCUAUUCUAAUAAGAUUACAAUUUUACAUUUUUAUUUGUAUUAGGUAUAAGUUAGGUUAAGUAAUAAUGCUAUGCCCUUGCAGGGCUCAUGUUUGAAACAACUCAUUUGUUAUUUAAUACCCAUAUGUACAACAUGAACGCAAAUAAAGAACUUGAACUUGAAACUAGGUAUAAUAAAUAAAUAAAUAAAUUCAUUUAUUCGCGACCACCUUCUCGCCCACAGCCUGCCUGCCUGCCUGGUAUGUUGGGGCCCUUGGGCACAUAAGAAUAUGGGGCCCUUUUGGAAAGUAAAGAAAGCGAAUUAAAACUAACAUUUUUCUACUAUGAGCUUCUAUUUAAUAUGGGUAAUCAUAUAUACCUACUGUUACUGUCUGUCCUUCGGGGCCUGGGCACGGGCCCCGCGUGUGUCCUUAUGGUAAAGACGGUACUGACAUUCCGAAUAGGAGAGAUGAAAAUAAAUUGUGUGGUCAAAAUAAAAGUAAAGACGUUUUCAUAAUAAUUUAAUGCUGAACUACGAGUAACACAUAGCUGAUCAAGCAAAUCUUGUCAGUAAAAAAAGGCGCGAAAUUAAAAAUUUUCUAUGGGCUGACAUCCCUUCGCGCCUACAUUUUUCAAAUUUGCCGCUUUUUUCUACUGACAAGAUCUGGUUAACCAGCUAUAACAAGAUGACUCGCCCCAGAAUACCGAUAGGUGUGUGACGAUUACAAUAUACGCGAAUAUCGCAAAAUAUACUUAGUUUAUUUUUCUGAGGCACUAGAUCUACUCGAUUAGCCUGCUUGCGGGUGGCAUUUACAACUAAUUAAAUAGGUACUUGCGUACAUUUAGCAAAUUCGUCAAUUUCGUCAUACUCGGAAUCAGAAAGGUAUCAUUUCGUAACAAUCCUCACCCAUCAUCAUCCAUUAGGACUAAAUAAAUACAAUAAAUAAAUAAAGGAGGGUGGGCUUAUUCGCCCUUUUGACCAAUAAGGGCAAGCGAUAUGUCACCGGAUAGGUACCGAACCGACACUAAAUUAUUGUUUUUAUAUCCCAGAUAGUAAAACGACAGUUCAAUCGUCCAACCAAUUCAAUCCAAAUACUUCCCAAUCUGCCUUCUAUUUUGUACUGAAAUGACAGUUGUAAUGUGCAAAUUCAAUAAGUAGAUUGAGCUGUCAUUUCAGGAUCUGGGAUAUAAAUAGAGCCGAGGUACAUUCCUCAUAUAUACACACACACACACACGAACAAGCACAUCAUCGUCAUAACUAUUUAAUAUUUCAGCGCUAUUAGGAUUAAUUGAUUUAUAUCAAAAAAUAAUUCUAUAAUAAAGGCAAUAAAAUACUUAUUCGCUUAUAAUAAGAUUAAUAAGGAAUUAAGGACUGGUACGCAUUACAACACAGGUAAACUUUACUCAAAUGUAACACGUUGGUAAUUAAGAAAAUAAAUAAAAAAACGUAGUAAAUAGGUUGUUUCGCGCUGGUCAUCAGCGUAGAAGUAUACCUUCUCUGCGUGUAACAGAAACUUUAGAACCUAUACUAAUAAAAGUAUAUCACAAUCUGUGCCUUGCUCACUACUCUCACUUCCUCGAGCACCAAUAUUUAUUUAUAUUACAUAUAAAA